rnacentral:rRNA from 1 species
AGGUCAAGCUACAAAGGGCGCGCGGUGGAUGCCUUGGCGCCAAAGGCCGAAGAAGGACGCGGUUACCUGCGAAAAGCUCCGGGGAGUUGGCAGCGAACGGUGAUCCGGAGAUCUCCGAAUGGGGAAACCCGGCCAGAUUUAUUUCUGGUCACUCGCACGCGAAUCCAUAGUGUGCGAGGGGGCACCGAGGGAACUGAAACAUCUCAGUACCUCGAGGAAGAGAAAGUUAUUCCCUUAGUAGUGGCGAGCGAAACGGGAAGAGCCCAAACACGACCUGUGCAUAAGGCGUCAGCCGUUGCAGGUCGUGGGUUGUGGGGGCCGACACGCGGACCUGACGGUCCGCGAGGGAGUUGAGAAAGUCGCACGCUAGGAGAAGGUGCCUGGAAAGGCCCGCCAAAGAGAGUGAGAGCCUCGUAACCGAAAGCAUGCGAUCUCCCGUCGGAUUCCCCGAGUACCACUCGGAAGGUCUCCAGAGUGGGAAGCUGGGCAGACCACUGUCCAAGGCUAAAUACUUUUGGCGACCGAUAGUGAACGAGUACCGUGAGGGAAAGGUGAAAAGCACCCCGGGAGGGGAGUGAAAGAGAAACUGAAACCGUGUGCCUACAAGCAGUCGAAGGGUGUUGCCGCGCAAGCGGCAGCCUAACGGCGUGCCUAUUGAAGAAUGAUCCGGCGAGUUAGCUGGGUGCGGCGAGGUUAAGGACGAACGUCCGGAGCCGAAGCGAAAGCGAGUCCGAAUAGGGCGCGGAUCCGCAAGGAUCCACAGUCGCAUUCACUAGACCCGAAACCAAGUGAGCUACCCAUGGCCAGGACGAAGCGGCGGUAAAACGCCGUGGAGGACCGAACUCACCAACGUUGAAAAGUUGGGGGAUGAGCUGUGGGUAGUGGUGAAAUGCCUAACGAACUUGGAGAUAGCUGGUUCUCCCCGAAAUAGCUUUAGGGCUAGCCCCGCGCGUUCACUCACAGAGGUAGAGCACUGGAUGGGCUAGGGGGCUUAUCGCUUACCAAACCCAACCAAACUCCGAAUGCUGUGAGUCCAAAGCGCGGGAGUCAGUCAUAGGGGGCUAAGCUCCUGUGACAAGAGGGAAACAGCCCAGACCAUCAGCUAAGGUCCCUAAGUAAUGGCUAAGUGGCAAAGGAUGUUGGGUCGCUCAGACAACCAGGAUGUUGGCUUAGAAGCAGCCAUCAUUGAAAGAGUGCGUAACAGCUCACUGGUCGAGCGAUCCGGCGCCGAAAAUCUAACGGGGCUCAAGCCAUUUACCGAAGCUAUGGAACAUCGACACCUUCGGGUGUCGGGGUUGGUAGGGGAGCGUCCCGCGAGCAGUGAAGGUGGACCGUAAGGACCGCUGGAGCGAGCGGGAGUGAGAAUGCCGGAACGAGUAGCGAAAUGCGCGUGAGAAACGUGCACACCGAAAGCCUAAGGUUUCCUGAGGAAGGUUAAUCCGCUCAGGGUUAGUCGGGCCUAAGCCGAGGCCGCAAGGCGUAGGCGAUGGACAUCCGGUCUACAUUCCGGAACCGUUCGUGAUCGUCAUCAGCGAAGGGGUGACGCGGCGCGGUAGACCCAGCGCACUUUGGCUAUGUGCGUCUAAGGUCGUAGGCGUCUCUCGAUAGGCAAAUCCGUCGAGAGGUCAAGCCGAGAACCAAAUGCGAGGUGCGCAAGCACCAAGUGGGACAACCCGUGCCGCCGAGAAAAGCCUCUAGCGAGAUCAUGAGCGCCCGUACCGCAAACCGACGCAGGUAGGCGAGGAGAGUAUCCACAGGUGAUCGGGAGAACCCUCGCUAAGGAACUCGGCAAAAUGACCCCGUAACUUCGGGAUAAGGGGUGCCUCGCACGCCUUGUUGCCUUCGGGUGACGAGGGAAGUGAUCGAGGCCGCAGUGAAACGGCCCAAGCGACUGUUUAACAAAAACACAGGUCUCUGCGAAGGGGUAACCCAACGUAUAGGGGCUGACGCCUGCCCAGUGCCGGAAGGUUAAGGGGAGGGCUUUACGGCCCGAACUGAAGCCCCGGUGAACGGCGGCCGUAACUAUAACGGUCCUAAGGUAGGAUUAAGCUGCCUUAGAGAAAUCCGGCUAUUUGCUGGGAACCCUGGAGAAUCCUCCGGUACUUGAGCAAGCGGGAUCCGAUGUAUAUCGGUGAUGGCUUGCGAGAGUGAAAAUCCGCGAGGUGUUCCAUUCGAACGAGUGGAGCCAGGCAAUCAGCAGGAAAGACUGACAGUUGACUGGAUCGUCGGUUUUACGGAUGGAGAAGGGUGCUUCUCGAUCGGCGUGGUCCGACAACCGGACAGGCCGAAUCGAAGAGGCUACCGGACUGGAUAUCAGGUCUCCCACGAUUUCAGCGUGACGCAGGGCGCGCGAAGCCGCGCCUGUUUAGAUGGGAUGCGCAACUUCUCUGGAGUUGGCCAUGUCUAUCCAAACUCGCGCCACGACAAUCAUCGGGAAAACUUGUACCAAUUCUCCGUCGCAAAGCGCAGCGAGCUGCUGAACGUAAUCAUUCCGUUCUUU